CCUACGGGCGGCAGCAGUGAGGAAUAUUGGUCAAUGGGCUUACGCCUGAACCAGCCAAGUCGCGUGAGGGAAGACUGCCCUAUGGGUUGUAAACCUCUUUUGUCAGGGAGCAACGCCGGCUACGUGUAGCCGGACUGAGAGUACCUGAAGAAAAAGCAUCGGCUAACUCCGUGCCAGCAGCCGCGGUAAUACGGAGGAUGCGAGCGUUAUCCGGAUUGAUUGGGUGUACAGGGUGCGUAGGCGGAAUGCCAAGUCAGCGGUAAAAUCGCGGGGCUCAACCUCGCUCCGCCGUUGAAACUGGCGUUCUUGAGUGGGCGAGAAGUAUGCGGAAUGCGUGGUGUAGCGGUGAAAUGCAUAGAUAUCACGCAGAACUCCGAUUGCGAAGGCAGCAUACCGGCGCCCAACUGACGCUGAAGCACGAAAGCGUGGGUAUCGAACAGGAUUAGAUACCCCUGUAGUC
rnacentral:rRNA from 1 species